AGGUGGAGGUUGCAGUGAGUCGAGAUGAUGCCAUUGCACUCCAGCCUGGGCAACAAGAGCAAAGAAACCUCUGUCAAAAAAAAAAAAAAGAAUAAUAUGGUAAUUUAAGAUUCAUAUGUUUUAUCCAUCUUGAAAAAUACCUUGUGCAUGUAUUUGAAGUCUUUUUACACACUGAUUUAUCUUGGGUGUAUUGUAUCUGUCUACAUUAUUUAAGCAAUGUAAUCACUAAAAGUUUAAGCACGGGGUUGAGCUUUCUGGCAUUCCAUUAGAAUGCCUGGGGAAACACACUUCUUGCCAGUUGCGUGCCUGCUGAUUGGGGAAUGAAACGCAAAUAUUCCAGUAUCAACAGAUUUGUUUAUUUCGUUUUUUUUUUCCCGACAGAGUGCCAGGAAAUGGGCUAAGUAAAGAAUGUCACUUUCUGACAGGCCCAGGAACCUAAAGUUAUUUUGAGACCUUGAGAGGAAAGGAAUUCACCCAAUUUGUACAGAAAGCCAUUGCAAGAACCAGUGGAAUUUAAAGAUGGAUCCAAUUCCUGGGGAGUUGGAUCACUGGAUGCAUAAGGAAAUCCAAACUAAUAAGGAAAAAGUGAAAUAUUCAUUCCCUUCGUUAUUGUUAUCUAUAAUAGCUAAAAUUAAAGUAAGAGUGCUGGGUUGGGCCUUGAGGCCGGACCAAGCUCA